GACGAACGCUGGCGGCGUGCUUAACACAUGCAAGUCGAACGGAAAGGCCCUGCUUUUGUGGGGUGCUCGAGUGGCGAACGGGUGAGUAACACGUGAGUAACCUGCCCUUGACUUUGGGAUAACUUCAGGAAACUGGGGCUAAUACCGGAUAGGAGCUCCUGCUGCAUGGUGGGGGUUGGAAAGUUUCGGCGGUUGGGGAUGGACUCGCGGCUUAUCAGCUUGUUGGUGGGGUAGUGGCUUACCAAGGCUUUGACGGGUAGCCGGCCUGAGAGGGUGACCGGCCACAUUGGGACUGAGAUACGGCCCAGACUCCUACGGGAGGCAGCAGUGGGGAAUAUUGCACAAUGGGCGGAAGCCUGAUGCAGCAACGCCACGUGCGGGAUGACGGCCUUCGGGUUGUAAACCGCUUUCGCCUGUGACGAAGCGUGAGUGACAGUAAUGGGUAAAGAAGCACCGGCUAACUACGUG
rnacentral:rRNA from 1 species